GACGUAGGGCGCGAGCGUUGUCCGGAUUUAUUGGGCGUAAAGAGCUCGUAGGCGGCUUGUCGCGUCGUCCGUGAAAACUUGGGGCUCAACCCCAAGCUUGCGGUCGAUACGGGCAGGCUAGAGUUCGGUAGGGGAGACUGGAAUUCCUGGUGUAGCGGUGAAAUGCGCAGAUAUCAGGAGGAACACCGGUGGCGAAGGCGGGUCUCUGGGCAACUACUGACGCUGAGGAGCGAAAGCGUGGGGAGCGAACAGG
rnacentral:rRNA from 1 species